rnacentral:rRNA from 1 species
CCAAUAGCGUAUAUUAAAGUUGUUGCAGUUAAAAAGCUCGUAGUUGAAUUUCGGGAUUGACGUGAUGGUCAUGCCUUAAGGGGUAUGAACUGUCACUGUUGAUUUCUCACCUUCUGGAGAAACUUGAUGUCCUUUAUUGGGUGUCUUGCGGAUCCAGGACCUUUACCUUGAAAAAAUUAGAGUGUUUAAAGCAGGCAUUUUUGCUCGAAUACAUUAGCAUGGAAUAAUAGAAUAGGACGGCAUGGUUCUAUUUUGUUGGUUUCUAGGAUCACCGUAAUGAUUAAUAGGGAUAGUUGGGGGCAUUAGUAUUCAAUUGUCAGAGGUGAAAUUCUUGGAUUUAUUGAAGACUAACUACUGCGAAAGCAUUUGCCAAGGAUGUUUUCAUUAAUCAAGAACGAAAGUUAGGGGAUCGAAGACGAUCAGAUACCGUUGUAGUCUUAACCAUAAACUAUGCCGACUAGGAAUCAGACGAUGUUAAUUUUUUAAUGACUCGUUUGGCACCUUACG